GCAAUCCAAAAUGUCUAGAAGAGGCUAUGAGUGUGUGAGAAAACUUUGGUUAAGAUUGGUACAAAAUCAAGGCAGUUAUCGAGUGCACCAUGUGGAGUGUGACAGAAAGAUGGUCAGACAUGAUUAGCAUGCAAGGGCCACAAUUGUAUUUGAAUGACCCUAAUUAAACAUUAGCAACUCCAAUUCAGAAUUAAAGCACUGAAAUAAGAACGUUUAUUUUAGUAUUUAUAUAAAGAAUAUUUGCUUGAAUGUUGCCAUAGACCAGGAUAUUAUUGUGAGUGCUGUAAUUUUUUAUUCAAUCGAGCCCAUGAGUGGAGACUAUAGGCUAUACGUAUCACUUUGUACGUGGGAAAGCAACUGUAAAAGAUUGCUCUCCCCCUUCAGAAAGCUACGUUCCCUCCACUGUUGACAGUAAUAUUAUGCAAUGUUCUGCAAACUUCUAUAACAUAACAAUUCAAAUAAAGAAACCUCCCUCUUUGUGGCCAGUCCCAUAUUAGGACCAGCUCUCCAUUAAAGCUCAAUUCUUUCAACUGGAAGACAACCUGAAGAUCUCCUGUUAUUGGGACCAGCUCUAUGAUAUUAGACUAUUUCACUGGUCACGUGUUAAUAAAGCACACUACAAUCACAAAGUCUUCUUUGAAGUGGAGGAAAACAAGAUCAAUAUGUUCCAGGGUAAAUCGGAGAGGACAGGUUUAACUUUUUUUGGAACCCUUUCUGUCAAUGGUGAUUGGAGACUCCUGCAGUGAUUUUUGCUAUAAGGCAGGUGAAACUGGAGGAAGCCCUGUGUAACUGCACAGAAAUGCAGAGAAAAAAAAAAAACACGGGCUGUGAAGGAUUGUCAAAUAAAUUCUAACACUGAAGAAAUGGGCUUUGUAUCAGAAAACUGUUGACAGAGUCAGAAAUCGCAUGUAACAAGUAAGUGCAUUUAUUUGUUAUAUAUAUAUAAUGAGGAUUGGUUUUAGUCUUAAUACAAGGGAGGUAAAACGCGACUGACGUGUAUCUGGGUAACGGAUAUCCGAGUGCUGACUAUUUUCAGCUUCCUGGUAAAUAAUCACUUUCUGUGCUAUCUUUUGUUUAAGGCUGAUGGUCUAGCAGCACAGGAAGGAAUCAGGAAUUAAAGUAAAUAAAAACAUUUUAAAAACCUAUAGAAUGUUUAUCACAAUGAAAAGGGCUGUAGUUAUUGGUUGGUCAUCCUUAUUAGAAUUAGUAUCUUAAGCUGAAAGAACAUGAAGCUACAUUGUGGCUUGGAACUUAGUUUUAGGAGACUGGGUUUCAGACCACUGCACGGCACACCAGAGGAGACUUAGGGUUUAAGACAGCAAAGUUGCCUCAGACUAGGUCUCCCGGUGUCCUGGAACCAGGUUUCAAGCCACUGCAUCUGAAAACGUGGCUUUGUGUUCCCUCAGCUUUGGUUAUGUUUCAAAUAUUUUUAGAGGCAUGUUUACAGAAGUGUUGGGGUGCAGCAGUCAAAAAGGUUCCCCUUCUUUAAUAUUUGGUUCCCUAUAUCACACUUGCACAAGCGGUUUAAAGUAAAAGGAGCCUUUCUGAGUGCUACACCAUAGCACUGCUGGUAAGCUAAGGUACUUAUAGGCUGUUGAUGCCAUGGUAAGCACACUCACUUAUCUCUAUUUAAAUCUAUUAACGUGUUUGUGAUGUAAUUUACUAAAUAGUUAAUGAUGUAACAAUCUACUAUUCCUUUCUAUAUUAUGUUGGUUCAUUUACUUUUUUAUUUCUUAUGUUUUUAUUUCUUAUCCCCAGGGCAGAAGAGCACAGCACACAACUAGACAGGUUAACAAGUGGCUGUUCAGAAUUACCAAGGUGUUCGGACAAUCAAGGUUUUACUGUACUGUAUUGAACUACAGGGCACAAUCAGAUUGUAGGCUUUAAUCUUGACUACUGCAAUGCCUUGCUUGCUGGUGCUUCAAAACAUGCUCUCAAUAGGCCACAAUAUGUUCAGAACUCGGCUGCUCAAAUUCUAACUGGAUCUAAAUCCUUUUAACAUGUAACACCUGUGUUGGCAUCCAUGCAUUGGCUUACAGAUCUGAAUGGCUCCACUGCAGACCUGCAGGUGCUCCAUCAGCCACAGGGGUCGCUGGUGCGCGGUGAACCGUGGAUUGCCCUGCCGACCUGAGCCCUCCCUACCUGGGCGGUACUCAGCCAAUUGUGCACUGGAUUUGAACCUGCGAUCUCCAGGCUAUAGGGCUCAUCCUGCACUCCAUGUGGCGGAGCGCCUUUUACUGGAUGCCCCUCUGCGUAUUUUGAGUUAUAUGUUGUAUGUGAUGUGUUAAUGUUGGUGUAUAUAUAUAUAUUGGUGCACAGGAUAUAAAUUGGGCUAUGUAGCACAAGUGUUGUAAUAUGUAUUCAGGUGCAGAUAAAGUAUGUAACAGUAUGUGAGCAUAUACAGUAUGUCUGUUCGUUUGGCCACUGUGCCGUUUAUUUUUGUUAAUAAAUGCACCACAACGCUUUUCAUUACCCCAGUCCGUUGUGGAAUCCAUUCAGUUCCUGGUCUGACGUCACCCUUACUCCCAUCCUUGUGAUAGUCACUUAAAAUGCAUCUUUUUAACUUGGAAUAUCAGCCUAUGUAGGAGAUCUGCUUUUAUGAAUGUGUGUAGUGUGUGUGUUUUGUGUGCUGUGUUUUAAUAUGUAGAGUCGUCGUCUUCUUCUUCAUGAGUGGUGAUGUGUGUGUUCACACCAGGCUGCUAUCUACACUGGUAAGAUUGCAGAUUCAUCCACGGUGUGUUUGUUGUGAAGUGUUAGGUGGCCGCAGAUACAGAAGACAAAUGCCUGCAUGGUGUGUUUUGGCCAGCUGUUUGUUGUCACAGUAAAUGAUUGUGGCGUGACACACACUUUCUGAAACGAGAUCCUUGGCUGCAGCUUAAACCCUGUCACUGAAGUACAGUGGCAGUUCCUCCAGGCUUACUCACAUUGCUAUAUUAUAUACACCCAGUUGUGUCCUGCUGUAUUAAGUGGUACUACCGCUUUCCUUCUCUUUUUCUUGGUCAUUGCUAAUACCCAGGCACCUGAAACCUUGUACAGAAGCCGACAGAUUAUUUAAUUUACAUUAAUUAAUUCAAGUAGCACAAUUCUUCCUUAAUCUACACUGUCUGAAUCAUUUUAGUUAUUAACAGUUUUAGUAUCUCCAAGUCUAUUUUUUCCAGGUGUACAGAAUCCUAUGUAGGAUCAAUUCUGCUCAUUUUAAGGUCAUUUUACAUUUUUAUACAGUAUCAUCUUUUACUAUGUAUCACUCAUAAUGCUAAAUAAUACACAUCAUUGAAAAAUAAGAAUGUGUCAAGUUCAUUUUAGACAAGGUAGUUCCAUUAAAGGUGAAACAGCUACCAUAGUAAAUAUUUCACUUGUAAGUAAAAUCCGAUUGUCCCUUAAAAAUGAACUUUUCUCAUACAAUGUAUUUACUAUAUUGAUUAUAUAUAGGCUAGUACAGAGAGGUUAUCGAUAGGCUAAAAAGCCUAAUUUCAUAAAUAAGAACUAGUUUUAAAUCAUAUGGGACAUCAGGGCUAUUGUAAUAAAUGUAUACAUUUUGAACAUUCAUAUUUGUUCUUGGAGUUAUAGUACACUGUCUUUCAGUGUGUUUCGGAGCAGUGUUGAGUUGAGUAUCCAGAUAUCUGAGUGGUCUUCUUGUUAAUUGAUGCAGGCAUUUUAUUUGUAGAUGUGUUAAUUUCAUGAUGUUGUAUUUUUUUUUAUGUAUUUAUUUAUUUAUUUGUUGGAUUGUUUGUUUGUUAUUUCAAAACUGUGGUGCUAAUACCUGCUGCACAUGGUUUGAUGUCACAGAAAGUAGAAAAUAGAUAAAAAAAAGGAAGUAUAAAUAAAUAAAUGUGGAAAAUGAAACAGCAAAACAGUAAGGAACUCAUUGUGAAGAAAUGCUUGUUAGCGGCUCAAGUGUUUUAAGGUUUGGGCGCCAGGGUGCUGUGUUUAAAGCCGAGGUGAGUGUCUGUGGUGUCAGGUGAUCCAGCUGGCUGUCCUGAAAUGGGAGUUAGGCUACUCUCGUAUACACUGCAUCUCUCCGUGAGGCUUGCUGCUUUGUGGUGGGUGUUUGGAAAUUGUUACUAGUUGUGCUUGCCCUGCACCCCCCCAUUCAGAAUUCUGCAAACGUUUCUUGUGAGCGCUUGCCAGAGAGGGUCCCCUCAGGACACAGCAGCUUGUGCCAAGGCUGAGGGACCAUCUGUUACAGGAUCCACUGGGGCCUCUGGAUAAUUCAUGGACCAGGCCAUGACAGGUACAUUUUUAUUGCUGCACAUUUCAACUCCCCUCCCCAGAGGAGGCAGGUGAGUGGAGUGUGGGAGGCAGUGUGGAACAAUUUAAGAGUUAUGGCCGGGAUUUUCCACUUCCCCUUAUUAAGUUGUAUUGAAAACACACCUUUGUUUAGGUUAAAUAUCUCUGUGCAUUGGGCAUACAAUUUGAAAAUAAUUUUUGUAUUUUGUAUUUUUGCACGGUAUUUUUUGCAGUUUCCCCAUGCUUUUCCCAUGGUUAUACUAUGCAUUUACCAUAGUUUACCCUGGUUUGCCAUGUUUAUUAAUAUGCUUUACCAUACCUUCCUAUUCUUUUCACGAUUCUUACCUAUGCUUUAACAUGUUUUCAGCGGGGAUGUUUGAUUUUGACCCCUUUUCCAUUUAUAAUUGAAUUUAACAGCAGCAGUGUUACUGCCCUGCAAUGCUUAGAUUAAUUGAAUGUAUCCAUUCCUAACCAUUUAUGCUACAAUAGCUCUAUACAUUUACAAGUCAUUUUGCAUCAAUGCUCACCAGUGAAAUGAUGAUGUUGUUUUUCUUUUCAGAAGGAUAAUUGCUUUUCAAUCCAAAUCCUAUUGGUUCCCAUGAGAAAAAGAGGGUAAUAAAAACAUGGACAGAUUUACUGCAAAACUACACGUGUGACUUUGUUUCAUGAUGCAUGUUACCUGCAGUCAGGAAAGUAGUUUUGCAGUAACACAAGGCAAGCAAUGCAAAUAAUUAGACAAGUCUUCCAGUCAGUGAUGGUGGUAUGAUACACAUUUCAUCUAAGUGCUUUGUUAGAUUUGGAGGGUUGGUAGGUACACAGCAGUUGUGUUCAGUCAUGACUCUAUUGUGCAGACAGCAUGCCUUCUCUCGUGCCUCAUACUCCCUAAACCAUGUUAUAAGACAUCUCUCUGGACUUUGUGGUUGGCGCUGCUGCCUGGGAGAUGAGCGCAUACUUCACAUUUCUCUAGUGCGCCACUGUCUCAAGUCAUGCCAGGAAAGAGGAUGCCAGUCAAGGCUGAUUUGUGGCCGACUUGCAUGUUCAUUCCAACAGCCAGUUGGUUCCCAUAUGUAUGUAUAUGUAUGUAUGUAUAUAUGUAUGUAUGUAUAUAUGUAUGUAUGUAUAUAUAUAUGUAUAUAUAUGUGUGUGUGUGUGUAAUUACUGUAUCCCUAUUAACCCUAUUUUAAAAAAGAUGAUUAGAUUUUAACAAAUCCCUAUAUUUGUAACUUCAAAAGGAAUCAUCCUCCUUCAAAGUUUACCACAGUAAUUUUGCAGUUUUCCUAUGCUUUUGUCAUGGUUAUACUAUGUUUCCUAUGGCUUGCCAUAUUUUUUAAUUAGCUUUGCCAUACCUCUUUGAGCUUCACCCUGAUUUCACUAUGUGUUAUUACACUUUGCCAUGCUUUUGCUAACUUUUAUAAGGGUAAUAUUAUAAAUUAGCGUGUUGUGUGUAAGGUGUCUCUAAUUGUGCGGUUUGGGUGAGAGGACUGCAAAGCCAAGCUGAGAUUAUAAUAACCCGGCAGUACACACUACCUUAUUAUAAAUCACAAAAACAGAUAACAGAGUUGAUAGUUACAUCAGAGUUAGAUAGGAGUGCAAGUGAAGUACAAAAUACUACAGAUUGGGUGCAGGAUUAAGUACAGUAAAAUAGGGAGCAGAUAAGUGCAAGUUAAAGUUCUGACAUCCGUAGGAAGGUUGUUCCACCACUGUGGGGCGAGGGUGGAGAAGGAGCGGGCUCUGGAGGCAGGAGAGCGUAGAGGAGGUACAGCCAGUCUUCUAGUGCAUGAGGAGCGGAGAGGUCAGGUGGGGGUGUACGGAGAGAUGAGGUAGCUGGGUGCAGUCUGGUCAAGGCAUCGGUAGGCGAGUACAAGAGUCUUGAACUGGAUGCGAGCGGUGAUCGGGAGCCAGUGGAGUGAGCGGAGCCAGUGGUCACAUGACCUAAAAGGUCAGCUCAAAAAAUAAAAUCGGUGUAUAGCCAAUAAACACCGGAAAACACCGGAAACACCCCUUUCCCAUAAAAAAAAAAAAUACUACAAAAAAAAAAAGCAUUUCCCAGUGCAGCUGGGCAAUGUCCCUAUCAUCGAUUCAUUCUGAAUACUUUAAACCCACCCCGACUACUGAGUGGCAGCACAUUCCUACAUUUCUUUUGGAGACUCUGCUUGCGAGAUUUAAAAUGAGAUUACAAUUAGGAAUUGUUCGCGGGAUUUAAAGAUGUAUUACAGUUAAGAUACAGAGGAUUCAAAACAGAAUUGCAAAUUGUGGCAACAUGUAAACAAAUGCCUACACACAAGAACCCCAGAAGAAUGUGCCCCGUGACCAUAAGCAUUUCAUUGUGGAAGACAUCAAAGGAAAGAGUACAAGUACUGUCGAGUUAAAGCUGCCCAAGCAUUUUGGAAAGUUAACUGAAAACAAUAAUUUCAUACAGUACAUAAAAAGAAAAAGCCCCGUGUGACAGAGAAAGAAUGGAUAUUGGUUAUAAAUCUCCCUCCCGACCUGUGAGGGUGCUGUGUAAAGGGAACAGUGUGCCCCAGACUGGAUGGUUUGGCAGUUCAUUCCAGCGAAAGGUGGAAGUCGGCCAUCUAGAAAGGGGGCGGAGCAAGAGUACACCAAGCCAUCGCCCCAGACGGCAAUCGCGGAUUGGAGGAAAAGCGAUUGCACUCGCUAACUAAGGGGGCAUGGCUGAAGGUACAAAAGGGGAUGUGGCAAAGAGAACUGUUCCUUUGUUAUGGUUGCAAGAGAAUCGCUGUAACCGUGAGUGUUUUGUGUUUGUUUGUUUGUCGUUUGUCUGUUCACUAUAAAUCGUAUUUCACCACUUGCACGUAUAGCACUCACACUGGACUUGUGAUUGUGUUUGUGUUCUGUGUGUGUUUAUACUGUGUUUAUUUCAGGACUGAACCCUGUGGUUUCACUGUGCAGUACACAUUGCUGUAUAUUGCCAGGGAUUAUUAUUUACGAUCGCCAAACGACCAGGAUUAUAAACAAAUAAAGGAU